rnacentral:rRNA from 1 species
GGAGGAAUAUUGGUCAAUGGGCGGAAGCCUGAACCAGCCAAGUCGCGUGAGGGAAGACGGUCCUAUGGAUUGUAAACCUCUUUUGCAGGGGAGCAAGACGCGGUACGUGUACCGUGCUGGAGAGUACCCUGAGAAAAAGCAUCGGCUAACUCCGUGCCAGCAGCCGCGGUAAUACGGAGGAUGCGAGCGUUAUCCAGAUUUUAUUGGGCUUUAAAGGGUUGCGUAGGCGGACUGGUAAGUCAGCGGUAAAAAGUGCGGUGCUCAACGCCGUAGUGCCGUUGAAACUGCCGGUCUUGAGUGAGCGAGAAGUAUGCGGAAUGCGUGGUGUAGCGGUGAAAUGCAUAGAUAUCACGCAGAACUCCGAUUGCGAAGGCAGCAUACCGGCGCUCAACUGACGCUGAGGCACGAAAGCGUGGGGAUCGAACAGGAUUAGAUACC